CUGUCAGCCCAUUGGCCACCUCCUUAUAAGCCCAUUCUAAACCUUUCUUUCUUCAUUCUCCUCUACUUAGCUCCUCUAUGAUCUUUCUUUAGUUUGUGCACUUUUUGUGGGUCUGAGAGCAAAUAUUGCACUGCAGAAAAGAACACUGAAAUCUCCACAAGGUAGCAUGUAUGAGUGGAUUAAUAAUGAGUCAGCUUGCUUCAACCCAAAGGCUGCAAAAACUGCAAAGUAUAAGCAGAAUGACAUGUUUAGUGGUCCUUCUUAGCCAUGGCUUUGGCUUUCUCUUCAUCUUCCUAACGAUGAGUGUCGCAUCCUCAUCUUAAUCUCGGUGCUAUCCUACCUGAGCUUUUUCUCACCGCUUUUUUUUUUUUCUGUUGUCUAUUCUCUCUUUUUUGACUUGUUGCCUUUCGUUCCUCUACCUACCCCAUUCUUCUUGACCUUGUAAGACCUUUUCUUGACCUUGUAAGACCCCGUGUUAUCUCUUACGUCUUUAUGUUUUGUUUUUUCGCAAAUCUUACGUCAUGACUUCUUCAUGUAAGGUUUGUUUGGUCUCCUUCUUCUUUCCUACUCAACUCUCGUUCUCCUUCCUUGUCUAUCCCUCCUGAGCUGUUGAUUUUAUUCCAUUUACAAUUGAACACAACAAAAAGAUUUGAAUUCAUCAUGUAUGAUUCCAUCAAGAAUGGAAUAUUCAAGGAAAUUCAUGUGAUGAUUUAUAUGCCCUAUUGUCCCUAUUUGUUGGGGUUAUGAAUGUGAAUUUGGAAUAAACAUUGUACUAAAUCCAAUGUUUUUUAUUUAUUUAUUUAUUUUUGCAUUUUGGCUUUUUAAGUUUUGUAACUUGUCCUUAGUAAUUGCUAUUUAUUUUUACUUGUUUUUAGUUUUGUUUUGUUGUGGGAAUAUGUAAUAGAGAGACUACAAGUAUUCUUCCAAUUUCAGGGUUUUUUUUUUUCAUGGACUUUGA